UUUUAAUUUUAUGAUGGCUUUAUUGAAAUCUAUAAAUUAUUUUCCAAAAAAAACUGUAAAGAAAUGAGGAAUAAUUAACGCUUCAAUUCCUGCCAAACAUAUGGAUGCAGAAGGCCGCUGGAUUCUGAAAUGUACUAAAUCCGACCGACUCCAAAUAAUACACAAAAUUACAUAAGAGGCCAUCACAUCGCCUCCUGGAGUUUCUCCUCCAUCGGACACACCCUUCACCGCCCAAAACCGCCCUUUCGCGUUACCCACUUCUUCUUUCCCCGAUAUACCUUGUUUGGAUUAUCCGAUCUAGACUUCCUCGCUCUGAAAUUAGCAGGUAUCUUCUCUGUUACAAUAGAUUUCGUUUUCCUCUUUAGAUCCCAACGAAUUUAUUCUUUUUUUUUUUAUUUUAUUUUAUAUUGAUUCUAUAAAAAGGAGGACAAAAUGAACUCCAACUAUGGGAAAGGUUCAUCUGGGUCCUUAAACAACUUCAAUUUUGAUUUCGGGAUAGGCUCCAACCGAUCCAAAUCCCUUAACGAGCAAAAGAACCAAACUUCCUCUUCAUAUUUCUCAUAUGCAUCUUCAACAACUACACAAGCAAAGCCUGCGUGGCAACCCAACAAACCCUCCUGGACUCACCAACCCUCACCGAGUCAACCUACUCGGCCUGGACUCAACGGACCCACUUCGAUGGUGGGCGAUAUAUUUGGGAAGAGCUGGAAUUCAACUGCUUCAGGUUCUGGGAUUGGGAUCGCGGAGAAGAACCCAAAUUUGUUUGGGGAUCUGGUUAGCUCUGCUUUGGGGCAAGGAAAUGAGGGUAAUAUCAAUGUUCCUUUGAAAAAUGCUACACCCACAUCGAAGAAUAGUGCAUUUUCGAUGGGAAAUCUGGCUGAUUCAUUGCCCAAAUCGAGUGAUUCAGUGAAAAGUGGUAAUGAUAGGGGAUCUAAUAAUUUUGGGAGUUAUUCUGGUGGAUACAAUAUAAACAGCAGUAAUGUUAAUGCUACUGGUAUUGGUAAUGGCAAUGUUAGUAGUAAUAAAAGUCCAAAUCUUGGCGGUCCUUCAAUGAAAAGUAUGAGUGGAAGUGGACUUGGGGGUGGAGGUGGAGUUGUAGUGGGUGGAAACAGGGAUCCAUUUGGUUCUUUGGUUGAUUUUGGAUCAAAACAACAAUAUGGUGGUCUUAAUCCGGAAAGUAAAACUGUUAAGACUAGUGCAAGAGAUGAUGCAUUUGGAGAUUUUCAAAAUGCUGCAAAACCAAGCACAACAGCUUUUCCAUCAGGUGGUUUUGGUGCAAAGAACAAUGAUUUCAUGGGAUCAAAUAUCUGUUCCAAUUCAAAUGUUGAUGAUUUUGGGAUGCCUAGCAAUGACUUAACUUCUCAGAAGCAGACUUCUCUUCAAACAUCAAGUGGAGAUCCACUUGACAUGUUAUUUUCCUCUUCCUCGGGAGGUGCAGCAACAGCAUCUAGAGGAACGGGAGGGCAGCAGUUCUCAGAAGUUGAUGAUUGGGGAUUGGAUUCAGAGUUAGGAGGAGGAGCUGGAAAUGAUUCAGGUGGGGCAACGACUGAGCUUGAAGGGCUUCCACCUCCUCCUGCUGGGGUCACAGCUUCUGCAGCAAAGAACAAGGGUAUUGAUAACCAAAAGCAGGGCCAAUACGCUGAUGCCAUCAAGUGGUUGUCUUGGGCUGUAGUUCUUCUUGAGAAAACUGGUGAUCAGGCUUCCAGCAUGGAGGUUUUAUCUUGCAGAGCUUCAUGUUAUAAAGAAGUUGGAGAAUAUAAGAAGGCAGUGGCUGACUGUACAAAGGUGCUUGAACAUGAUGAUGCAAAUGUAUCUGUUCUUGUACAACGUGCACUCCUGUAUGAAAGUAUGGAAAAGUACAAACUUGGGGCAGAAGACCUGAGGACUGUUCUGAAGAUCGAUCCUGCUAAUAGCAUUGCAAGGAGUACCAUUCACCGCUUGACUAAAAUGGUAGAUUAGAAAGAUUCUGGAUUUUACACUGUAUUUUAUUUUAUUUUAUUUUUUCAUUUAUUUAUUUUAAGGAUAGAAUCAGAAAUUAAUUUGAAGUUACCUGUUGGACUCAAUUUUGAAGUUGACAAAAGUUCAAGGCUAUCUAAUUGAAUUGAAUUUUUGGUUAUAUAGUCUUGUAGCUAUUUUUCCUAAUAUAAAAUGGUAUAUGGAUAGAUGAUAAAACAACAGAAUUAGACAUAGAAGAUAAACAUAUUGCAAAAUAUUUUGCUAGAAAUGAUCAGAAGCAGCUAUUGCUGGUUGUAUUCAGACCAGUUAAGUAAAUGCAUUAAGGUUGAUAUACUAAGUUCUCUGAGUUUACUGCUAUGAAUACUUUUUUUUUAAUAAAUUGGGGAAAUAAUGAUUGCUAAGGUGAAAAUUUAUUUGAUCGCAAGAUUCCCA
rnacentral:misc_RNA from 1 species